UUUAACACUUCCAGUUUUUGCUUCAACCUUGUCGGCAUUCAUAGGAUUUAGACUUUAAGAAAUCCUUUGAAAUUAGUGCUUUUCACCUAUUCUUGGCCACUAUGCUUAGUUCGUCCGUAGAGAUCAACAAUCUUGUCUACGCUGCCCGUCUGGCUUUGACUACCGGCAAUCACACAGAUACUACCGUGCAGGAAGCUAUUACACUUUUUCAAGGCGCAGAGUGUCUUUCCAAUUUCAAAUUUGUUUUAAGCAACGUUUUCGAUACUUAUGUUC